UUUUAAAUUAAGGAUAAUUUUUGAUAGCAGAUAUCACUUUUAACCAUCUACUACACCAAAUAAAGAAGAGUAAAUUUUUUUUAAAAAUUAAAGAAAUAUCAUUAUGUGCUUUGUUUUAGUUAGGGUUUUACUGCUGCUGUGAGGAAACAACCCUAGCCAAAACAAGCUAGGAGGAAAGGGUUUAUUUGGAUUACACAUCACACUGUAUUCACUCUCUGAAGGAAGUCAGGACAGGAACUCAAUCAAAGCAGGAACCUAGAGGUAGGAGGUAAGGCAGAGGCUAUAGAUGGGUUCUGUUUAUUGGUUCCUCCACAUGGUUCCUCAGCCUGCUUUCUUAUAGCACCUAGGACCACCAGCUCAGGCAUGAGAGGAUCCACAAUGGGUUGGAUCUCCCACAUCGAACACUAAGAAAAUGCCCUACAGGCUUCUUUAGGGCCCUAUAUUAUGAAGGCAUUUUCUCAAUGGAGGCUGACUCCCUUCUGGUGAUGUUAGCUUGUUUCAAGAUUACUUAAAACUACCCAGCACAUAUUUCAUACUAUUUUGUCUUAUUUUCAGAGCUAAAUAUUUUCUGCUUUUGGCAAAAAAAAUCAUGACAUCAUAUUAGAAGGAGAAAGUUGAGACUGUGGAUGCCUUAGAGAUAUGGAAGAAUCCAGCUCUAUGUCUGAAAUCUCUAGAGAUAUUUAUAUAAGAAUUAGAGGACAUUAGUGGAUAAAGAUAAAAGAUAAGGCAAACUCCAAGACCUCAUUUGGUUAAAGAAGGAGCAAGCAUGCAUUAAAGUUGUGAUGAAUGUAGUUAAUUAAAACACAGCAAAUACAGAACUAGGAAUUAAAAAUAAGUCUCAAAAGAGAGAAUGGGAAAGCUAUGUCUCCUAGGGUGUCCUUGGAAGGACCAAAGCAGCAGAUAAGAAUAUUAGUGAUUAAGACAAGGAAGCCCUCACACCUUGUGCUGUUUUCAAGGUAAGUAAAGAGCUCAAACUGAUGAAGAAAAAUAUUCUUGCUGAUGAUUCUGGGUUGAAAUGUGGAAGAAAUAACACAAUAGAAAAUCUCUGUCUUGCAAUUCUUAAUGAAAUAAAUAAUGGAUUUAGAUAAUGAUCAUAAAUUAAUGAAAACAUAAGCUUAGAGCGUAAGAGAUACCUCCUAGUGAAGGGGUUGGAUUGCCAGGACUUGUCUUCAGUAAUUAUUCUGGGCAUCAAUAAAGGUGAAAUGAGCAGACACUUGGUCCUGAGAUGUGAGCCGUAGGACACACAGAAUUAUCUACAAAGUACACUUGUGAAACAAAUGAACUCAAACCCUGAGACUAAACCUACUCAAAAGUCACAACUAACUCUAUUAAAAGCAGAGAUGUGGGUGUUUUAACAUUACACUAGUGAAUAAUCAUACAAAAACCCCAACAUAAUGUGCAGGACCUCUAAUGAGCCCUUCACAAAAAUACAAUACCAACAAUGGAAUAAAAAGAGUGAAUGGGCCAGGGAAAGAACGAAAAGAUUCAAGAGCUCUAAAUAGCAAUGCACUGAAUGAAGCUUAUUGCUAUGUCAUCCAAAGCAACUGUGAUAAGCCAUUCUUUAGAUAACUAUGCAAAGUUGAACAUGGGAUUAACGUACAGUGGCACCAAGAAGAAUUAUUUGUUUGUCUGGCAUAAUAAUGACAAUACACUAUUGCAAGAAUUUUUCUAAAUUUUAAAAAAAUAUGUUCUGGUAUGUGUUCUAGGUAUGUGUACCUGAUACUUUUGAUUAACCUCAAGAGUUUCCACAAAAGACCCUGAGUGUAGAGGAGAUAGAUACACUAGAUGGUGCAAGAUUUUGAUCACACUUGUGUCCUGGUGACAGCUGGCUGCAUCACCAUGUUUAUAAAGCGUCUGAUUUACAUGAGGAUCUAAGAUCUCUUCUGGAUAUUCACCAGAGCCAUAUUGGUUUGCUCAGUAUAUGUUGCAGUAUGUUUUGUAUAUGGAAAAGAUCUUGUGUGAAAACUGAAGAUUUUAAUUUCACAGCCAUCAUCAAGCAGAGAGCUGCAACCAUUGCUGACCAAAAAUUAGCAGUGUCUUGAAACACAGUUGCAAUGGAUCUCUAGGCAAAGCUUGGCCUCAGAAAACUAGAGUUUCAAACAACUUUCCAGUAUCUGUGUCUACCUUAAAUAGGAAUGGAAAUCCAAAUAUUGUCAGUCAUUUGGGAAAAACCUGCAUGGUAAAGGAGAGACCAAAUCCAACAGCUGAAAAGAAACGAGAUAAGAUGCAAAAAUCGGAACAAAAAACACUUCCAAAAUAUCACAUUCUUUUUAUAGGAGCAAAACGCUUAUGAAAUAAGAAUAAUCAGAUGGGAGGGAACAGUGGGCUAUUUGAACUUAAAACUUUAAUUACUGUCUUAGGCCAGGUACCUGGGUAGAUGGCCUGAUGGGAAAUUCUUGUUCAAGUUGUAGAUUGACAGAGGUUUAUGCGGGACAGUUAUUUGAACACAGAUUAAGACAUGGAACAACUUCUGGAAGACUCUGGUCUCAGAUGGAGAUGUCUUUCAAUCUAGCUCCACUCAGGAAGGUGUGAUAGUGUACCUUAUACCAUUGCCUCAACCUCCCUUUAAGGUAAGAGUUCAGUCAUUUAACACCAGAUAGUCACCCUCUUAGGUCUCAUCCCCUUUGGGUGGGCACAGUACUACUUAAGAGGCUGUUUGUGCUUGAACAGAGCAAUCCCCCAGAGAAGGGAAUGGAUGUUAUAUGCUAUAUCUAAGCUCACAUACCAGCAAUGAGUGCAUGGCAGCACGGCUGUUCACAAGCAUAUUACCUGCAUGCCACCUUCUCAUGCAUUUUCUCCAUUCAAUUUUGUCCUCUACUAACAGGCUUAGUAGUCAAAUUUUUCUCUUGCCAAGAGGAAAGCACUAUAGAAGUAAUGAUAUUUUGAAAUACUGUGAGUUAUUUUGGCUAAUUUAGCUGUGGAAAACUUUAAAUAAAUAAUAGCUAGAAUUGCUUGCACUAAACCUCAGAGUCCUGUGAUAAAUAACUGCCAACUCGCUGGCUGACACCUGGCGUCUGUCUCCUUCUCUUUCUAUUUUUAUGUCUUGGAUUACAUAACUGAGGAACUUUCCUGUAAACUUUCUUCUGCUUUCAUUGUAUUAAUAGUUGUUCUGUAAAAAUGAUGAGAAAGGAAUUAUCAAAGAAAUUAUACAAGAAAAAUAUUUCCAGCUGGGAAAGACAUAGAUAAGUGUAUACUGAAAGUGCCCAGAGUGAAAUGGGUGUGAACAGGCACAGAGGGGACAUCAUGAAGUCUUAGAACACCAGGGGAAAGAUGGGUUUCUAAGGUUUCAGGUAGGAACCCAGGGCUAUUUUUGUAAGCCUAGACAUAAACUAGAAUUCAUAGCAUCUAUAACUCAAUAUAUAAUUUUCUGAGAAAUCUUACAUUCCAUAAAGUUAACAGUUAAUUAUUAAAAUUAGUAGUGCCUAUAAAGAAAAAGAGCUCUGGGAAAGAAUAUUUAAUGCCUAUGAAUAUUUCACUUUUCCUUUCUUUAUUAUAUAAUUUGCUAAUUAAAGUACUGAAAUCCCAAUAACAGUUGUAAGAAAAUCAACACAGAAAGUUAGUGUAGGACUAUAGACCAGUAAGGCAUGUAAUUACCUGCAGGUCCAGCUAGGAGCAAAAACCCAGAAUGAACAUUCUGAUAGUGUGCCAUACCAAGUCAUGAAAGAGGUGUGUGGUGUCUCAUACAGGUCACAGACUUAGGUGGAAACUGACAAUUAAGUCAUAUUCUUUAGACUGCUGAGAAAUUGGUAUCAGAAAACCCUCGAGCCCUUCCUGUGCUUGACCAUACUCACACAC
rnacentral:sRNA from 1 species